rnacentral:lncRNA from 1 species
UUUUUCUUAAGAUAAUUCCUCUCCAAGUUAUUAUGUGAGAACCCAACAAGGCCACCUUCAGUAACUGCAGUUGGGAAACUGAUGUGGCUCCAUCAUGCAGUUCUAAUUCAUCUUCUUCCUGGUACCUGCUCUAGUUACAUCAAGAAGUCAGGUUUGCACUGGUGUAUGGUUCUAUGUUGGAGGUCAGAGGUCGUCUCUGAGGUUACAUUGUCCAUCACUUGCUAGGAAAAAAAAAAUGGAUAAGGAAGACUCUUUGAAGAAAAACUCACAUUGGUGACUGUCUUUUGAGGAGUUGUCCAUGGUCAGCAAGGCAGUUCUGUCGCUAAGUAUCAUGAGUCUAGCAUGUGUGCUCAUGGAGCUGGAAUAUGGUGAGUAGGGGUGGUAGUGGGGAAGUACAGAGUGCCUGAUGGCUCUGCAGGGAGAGAACUAGGGCACCAUCAGGCUGAGUCUUAGAGCCUGGCAGGACUCAGGCCUGACAGAAUGCAGGAAUGCUGGAAUGGAAACUGAGGUAGCAACACAGUCACAUGAUUGGGUGGACACAGCAGCAAUUAGGAAACUCAGCAGCAGGUGCCACUUGAGAGGCAGAGACCCAGUCUUCCUGCCAGGGAUGUCUUUCCAGGGCCCACCCCCCAGGCCUUGAUCUCUGCUGCUGCCAAAAAUGGCAGGGCUGACACAGCAUCCUGGAGUGCCAGGGGCCUGUGGUCACAAAAGCUUCAUCUCAAAAGAAGCUAAGAGGGGGUCCAUUCUGGGGAAUACUCUGGACAGUGCUAUGAAGGGCAGCUGGGAAGAGAGCUGGCUCUCUGCUGCAUAUUGACUACUCGGGGGUACAAUUUUGUCUUGCCCUUACCCUUAUCCACCCAUAGCAAGCUCCGCAUUUGGUGAUGUUUGCUUGUUUCACUUUUUAUUUUGAAAUAAUUAAAACUUACAGGACAGGUGCAAGAAUAGUGUAAAUAACUCUUGUAUACCUUUAUCUAGAUUCACUAAUUGUUCAUAUUUUGUUGCAUUUAUCCCUUCUCUCCCCCACACUAAUUCAUGUUCAUAUAUAUGUGAAUUUUUUUGCUGAACCAUUUAGGAGUAGGCAGCUGUCAUCAAACUCCCUUUACCCCUUGCAUUUCCCAAGAAUGAGAAUAUUCUCUUGUAUAUGUACAGCUAUCAAAUUUAGAAAAUAUAAUAUUUAUUUCAUACUUUUAUGUAACCUGUGUCCCAAUAAUGCCCUUUAUCACAAUUUUCUUAAGGUUCACAAUCUAGUCCUGGAUCCCACAUUGCAUUUAGUUGUCCUGUCUCUUUUGUCCCCGUUAAUCAAGAACAGUUCAUAACUCUUCCUUUGUCUUCAGUGGCCUUGACAUUUUUGAAGAAUACCAGCCAGUUGUUUUAUAGAAUGUUCCUUAAUUUUGGUUUCUCUGAUGUUUCUUCACAUUUACAUUUGGAUUUAGGCAUUUUUCAGUUGGAAUGCUAUAUAGGCAUGUAAGUGAUUUGUUCUCUGGGGACCAUAUCAGGAGGCACAGAUGUCCAUUUGGCCCUUGUUGGUGAGGUCACAUUUGAUUAGUUAAGCUGGUGUCUGUGUAGCUGUUCUUUUUCCUUUUGUAAUGAACAAAUAUAAUUUGUUGGAAGAUAUUUUGACAUUAUGUAAAUAUCCCAUUCCUCAUCAAACUCUCUCCACCUAGCUUUAGCAUUCAUUGAGGAUUCUUGCCUGGAUAAUGAUUUACUCUAAUGGUUUCAUCCAUCAUCCCUUCUAUAUUUGUUAGUCCAAAAUAGUCUUUGAUUGGGUGGGAAGGCAUACUAAGCCUGCCGAUCUUAGUAGCUGAGCUCACAGGGAGGAAGGGCCUUGAUUUCCUCCUUGGACUCUGACUGACAGCUCUUUUGAAGCAGUCCUGUUCUGUUGGGUGUAUGUUUUGACACAUGUAGUAACUCAUUUUGGAAAUACUUAUUUUUUACUAGAUAACUUUCAAAUAAGUUUUUAAA